rnacentral:rRNA from 1 species
UACGUAGGGACCAAGCGUUGUUCGGAUUUACUAGGCGUAAAGGGCGCGUAGGCGGCUUGACAAGUCACUUGUGAAAUCUCCGGGCUUAACUCGGAACGGCCAAGUGAAACUGUCAUGCUAGAGUGCAGAAGGGGCAAUCGGAAUUCUUGGUGUAGCGGUGAAAUGCGUAGAUAUCAAGAGGAACACCUGAGGUGAAGACGGGUUGCUGGGCUGACACUGACGCUGAGGCGCGAAAGCCAGGGGAGCAAACGGG